rnacentral:misc_RNA from 1 species
AAGAUUCGGCCCUCGGGCCUAAACCUCUUCAGCUGUGCGCUUCGGCUGCACGCUGUUGAACCUCAUACACCUGUGAACAUUCCGGUUGUGAUUCACCUCACGUGUCUCACUUCCGCCUUUACAUCAAACUACAAGUCCAGAAUGUAAAAACUAUAAAGUAA